CUCUGUUUUGCUUUUUUAUAAUAGACCUGUGAUCCCCUUGGAAUUGAUUUUUAUGAAAGUUGGAAAGUAGGGGUUGUUUCACUUUUUUCCAAAUGGACAUUGAAUUUAUCCUAGCCUAUUUAUUGAAAAGACUGCCUUCUCAGCUACCCUGAAGUACCAUCUUUGCCAUAAGUCAAAACCCUACAUAUGUAUAGAUCCGUUUCUAAAUUCUAUUGUUCUAUCAUUUUAUUUAUUCAUCCUUUUGUCAUUAUAUGUUUAGCCCUCCAAUUAUUUAGGUCUUCUUCAAUUUCUCCCAUAAUGUGUUAUAGUUUUAUGUGUAGAGAUUUUGCAUAUCUCUGCUAGAUUUAUUCCUACGGAGUGGAUUUUUUGAAUGUUUUUAUAAAUGUUAACUUUUUGUUUUAUCACUUUCUGUUACUUCCUGACAGAAAAGCAGUUAACUCUUGUAUCCUGAUCCAGUGAUCAUACAAAAUUCACUUAUUCUAGUAAUUUUUUAGAUUCUUUUUUAUUUUCUACACAUGUAUUCAUAUCACCCACAAAUCAUGAAAAUUUUAUUUCUUCUUGUCCAAUCAUUGGGCAUUUUAUUUCUUUCUCUUGCCUUAUUUUACCGGCUGGGACAAUAGCUGGGACAAUAGCUAGCAUGGCAUUGAGUACAAGUGGCAAUAUGGCCAGCCUCAUCUCAUUCCUGAUCUCAGAGGGAAAGUUUUCAACUGUUCACCAUUAAGUCUCAGGCUUCAGUGUAGAUAUCUUCUAUCAGGUUAAGUUCCCUCCUACGCCCAUUUUCUAAGAGCUUUUAACAUAAAUGGAUGCUGAAUUUUAUGAAAUGCUAUUUCUGUAUGGCUCUAGAAGAUAGUUUAUUCUCUUAUUUCAUUCCAUUAAUGUGGUGGAAAACAUUGGUUGGUUUUUGUAAUGUGAAACUAACUUUGCAUUCCUAGAAUAAACCCAACUUGGUAGUUGGGUUAUAUAUUGCAGGAUUUGAUUUGCUAAUGUGUUGUUUAGGAGUUUUCCAUCUGUGGUCAUGAGUGAGACUGCCAUGUAAUUUCAUUUUUUUGUCAUGUUCUUGUCAAGUUUUGGUUACCUGUCCUCAUAAAAUUAGUUGGAAAGUGUUUCUUCUUUUUCUGUUCUCUGGAAGUAUUUAUUGAAAGUUGGUAUUAUUUUUUUCCUUAAAUAUUAUGUAGACAUCUCCAGCUAUGCCAUCUAGGUCUAGAGUUUUCCUUUAGGAAAAAUUUAAAUUAUGAACUCGAUUUUUUUUUUUCUUUGAGACGGAGUUUCUUUCAUUCUUGUCACCCAGGCUGGAGUACAGUGUGAUGUCGGCUCAUCGCAACCUCUGCCUCCAGGGUUCAAGCGAUUCUCCUGCCUCAGCCUCCCGAGUAGCCAGGAUUACAGGUGCCCGCCACCAUGCCCAGCUAAUUUUUUGUAUUUUUAGUAGAGAUGGGGUUUCACCAUGUUAGCCAGGGUGGUCUUGAACUCCUGACCUCAGGUGAUCCGCCCACCUCAGCCUCCCAAACUGCUGGGAUUACAGGUGUGAGCCACGGCGCCCGGCCCUAUGAACUCAAUUUCUUUAAUAGUUAUGGGACUGUUCUGAGUAUUUAUUCUUAUGUAAAUGUUGGUAAACUGUAUUUUUUCAAGAAAUUUGUCUAAUUUGUAUUUUCAAAUUUAUUGGUGUAAAGUUCUUCAUCAUAUCCACUUAUGAUUUUUACAAUAGUUAUUAUAGUAGUAUUCUCUUUUUUAUUCCUGAUAUUUGUUAUUUGUACUUCCUUGUGCUCUUUUUUCCUUUUUGUCUUGUCAGGGCUUAUCAAUGUUAUAAAUCAUUUUAGAGAAUCAAUAUUUGACCUUGUUAAUUCUCUAUUUUUAUGUUGAUUUUUUAUUUCACUGACUUCUGCUUUUAUGUUUAUUUUCUUGUUUCUUUGGGGUUUAACUUGCUGUUCUUUUCCUAACUUCUUGAAAUGAAAAAUUCCUAACUUCCUGGAAGCUUAAAAAAAAAAUGUACUUAUGUCUAUAUGUUUCCCUCUAAGCAUGAUUUUUAGCUGCAUCUCACACAUUUUGAUAUGUAGUAUUCACCUUAUUCAGUUCAAAAUAUUUUCUAAUUUCCAUUGUGAUUUCUUCUUUGACCCAAGUGUUAUUUGAAAGUAUAUUUCCUAACUUCCAAAUACACAGGAAUUGCCUAAUUAUCUUUUUGUUAAUGAUUUCUAGCUUAACUGCACCGUGGUCAAAUAACAUACUCUGUAGGAUUUCAGUCCUUUAAAAUUUGUUAGUACUUAUUUCAUGGCCAAACAUAUAGUCUUUUUGUAAAAUACUCAAUGUGCACUUGAAAAGAAUGUGUAUCCUGCCAUUCUUGGUUUAUUGUGUGGUUAAAAUCUUUUAUAUUGUUAUUUUUCUUUUUUGUGUUUGUUUGUUAGUAACUGAGAGAGGUGUGUUAGUCUCCCAAGAUGAUUGUGGCUUUUUCCAUUUUUCUUCUUAGCUCUGUCAAUUUUUGUUCUAUUUGGAAGCUAUGUUAUUAGGUCCAUACAAAUUUAGCAGUUAUAUCUUCUUGAUGAAUUGAAUCUUUUGUCAUUAAAAAGUGUCUUCCUUUGGCAUCUUGAAUCUACUUUCUAAUAAGUGGUGUUGAGAUAACCAGAUAGCCACAUAGAAAAAUAUGAAAUUGGACAUGUUCUUCAUAACAUUACAC
rnacentral:lncRNA from 1 species